rnacentral:rRNA from 1 species
AUUGAACGCUGGCGGCAGGCCUAACACAUGCAAGUCGAGCGGAUGAAGGGAGCUUUCUCCUGGAUUCAGCGGCGGACGGGUGUGUAAUUCCUAUGAAUCUGCCUUGUAUUGUGUGAUAACGUCCGGUAACGGGCGCUAAUACCGCAUACGUCCUGAUGGCGCAAGUGGGGGAUCUUCGGACCUCACGCUUUCUGAUGUGCCUAGGUCGGAUUAGCUAGUUGGUUGGGUAAAGGCCUACCAAGGCGACGAUCCGUAACUGGUCUGAGAGGAUGAUCAGUCAAACUGGAACUGAGACACGGACCAGACUCCUAAGGGAGGCAGCAGUGGGGAAUAUUGGACAAUGGGCGAAAGCAUGAUACAGCAAUGCCGAGUGUGUGAAGAAGGUCUUCGGAUUGUAAAGCACUUUAAGUUGGGAGGAAGGGAAGUAAGUUAAUACCUUGAUGUAUUGACGUUACCAAAAGAAUAAGCAACGGCUAACUUCGUG